CCCUCCUCUACCGCCGCCGCCGCCGUGAAGAACUCAGUAAACUUGUGUGAAAAAUUGAAGUUGGGAUUGAGCCAAAAUGGGAAGAUCCUGAGUUUGCCAAUGGAGGCAAGUGGACUGUCAGCAGCAGCAAGAAGGCAAUUCUUGACACCAUGUGGCUUGAAACUGUAAUAUAUCCUUGGUGGAAAAAUUUUAUUCUUUAAAUUUUAAUAUUAUACACAUUAAUGUUUUACUAUUCUAUUGUUU